UAAGGGUUAGGGUUAUGGUUAGGGAACGGGUACAGUUUAGAGUACAGGUUAGGGUACGACAAUGGGUUAGGGUUAGGGUACAUGUUAGGGUACAGAUCAGUGUUAGUGUAUGUGUUAGGUUUAGAGUAUGGGUUAGGGUAAGGGUUAGGGUUAGGGUUAGGGUUGGAGAAUGGGUACGGUUUAGGUUACAGGCUAGGGUACGAAAACAGGUUAGGGUUAGGGUACGUGUUAGGGUAUGGGUUAGUGUUAGUAUACGGGUUAGUAUUAGGGUACGGUUUAGGGUAAGGUUUAGGGUUAGGGUUAGUGAACAGGUACAGUUUAGGGUACGGGUUAGGGUACGACAAUGGAUGAGGGUUAGCAUACAGGUUAGUGUUAGCGUACGGGUUAGGAUUAGGGGACGGGU